UAGGGAAUCUUCGGCAAUGGACGAAAGUCUGACCGAGCAACGCCGCGUGAGUGAAGAAGGUUUUCGGAUCGUAAAACUCUGUUGUUAGAGAAGAACAAGGACGUUAGUAACUGAACGUCCCCUGACGGUAUCUAACCAGAAAGCCACGGCUAACUACGUGCCAGCAGCCGCGGUAAUACGUAGGUGGCAAGCGUUGUCCGGAUUUAUUGGGCGUAAAGCGAGCGCAGGCGGUUUCUUAAGUCUGAUGUGAAAGCCCCCGGCUCAACCGGGGAGGGUCAUUGGAAACUGGGAUACAUGAGUGCAGAAGAGGAGAGUGGAAUUCCAUGUGUAGCGGUGAAAUGCGUAGAUAUAUGGAAGAACACCAGUGGCGAAGGCGGCUCUCUGGUCUGUAACUGACGCUGAGGCUCGAAAGCGUGGGGAGCAAACAGG
rnacentral:rRNA from 1 species